rnacentral:lncRNA from 1 species
CUGCUGGAUCCAAAGAGGAAAAAGAGGUAGGGUCGGGAAGAGGAAGGCAAUCUGGGUGGUGAGAACAGAGGAGGAGGAUUUGAACACAUGAGCAAGAAUUGCAGAGGUUGGGUUGUGAUCUGAGUGCAAAAAAGGCCUGGAUAUAAGUAAUUUCUCCUCAUUUUUCCAGUCAUCAGCAAUAAUUGAUUAAGUCAGUUAAAAUUGUAAAGUCCAAUGUUCCGUUUGUGGGCCAUUUGGACCCAUUAUCCAAUUCGUAUUGUGGCCAGAUUGAAUUGUAAAACAAGACAAGGCACGGAUAUCUUGACUGAGGCCUGAGGUUUGUAGGUUUUUUUAUGAGGCAGCCUAGAAGGAUGUCCUUUGGAAUGGAAAACUUGAGAUUUCCCAUAACCGAGGUUAGGCUAGAGAGAACAGGGAAAAGGGGACCAUCCUGGGAAGCUGGAGGGAGAUGAUAAAAGGAGCGAUUGUCACCACUGCCUUUUUUGUUCCUAGAACGGGAUCAAAUGGCUUAGAGGCAUCCCCCUAAGACCAAAAGAUCAGCAAGUGCCUGGCACAUGCCAGAGCCUUCUUGGGCCAACAUUGGAUUUUUGGACUGGAGAGAGCAAGAGAGGCUGUGUGGAUUUUUCCCUGUUAACUGGGCUCCCAGGAUACUUACUGGUAGGUGAGAUCAGUGACCGAGGGGCAUGCACAGACAGGCGACUGGAGGCUGAGGAGCUUCUUUUGUCCAGCUGCUGUACCCAGAUGGCCUCCCUCUGGAUCUUCAGGGGGUAUGUGUCUUCCUGCCAACUGUUCCUGCUUCCGCUCUCUUGCUGACGCACGCUGCUGGUGCAAGGGGCUUUGUGCCUUUGGACUAGGCCUGUGGAAGGAGGAGUUAUUCAUUCCCUUAAGUUUUCGGGAGAAUCUUUCAGGGAUAUAAAACAUUCUUAUUGGGGUUGCUGCUGGGUCCUCAGAUAUCAGUGAGGGAGAAAAGUGCACCGUUUAGGUUCCAUCUGAAUGCUUCAUCAGCUCUCUGAAGAACAUAAUUUUAAAAUCCCCACUGAAAAAGGAUGGAAUUAAUAGCCUGGAAUAAUUUAGAAAGAUGUGUAUGUAAAGGAAUUAAUUCAAAGAAAUGUGUCUUCUAGAAUGCUAAAGAGACAGUAUUUAAAUAGACUGCUAGAAAUUACAAAACAUGGGCAUCAUAUGUGGCUUGAACUUUGCAUAAAACAUGUUUUUCAUGAUUAGAUUCAGAUUAUAAUUUAUGUUUUUUGCCGGGCGCGGUGGCUCACCUCUGUAAUCCCAGCAAUUUGGGAGGCCGAGGCGGGCGGAUCAUGAGGUCAGGAGAUCGAGACCAUCCUGGCUAACACGGUGAAACCUCGUCUCUAAUAAAAAUAUAAAAAAUUAGCCAGGCAUGGUGACGGGCGCCAGUAGUCCCAGCUACUCGGGAGGCUGAGGUAGAACAAUGGCGUGAACCCGAGAGGUGGAGCUUGCAGUAAGCCAAGAUCACGCCACUGCACUCCAGCCUGGGUGACAGAACGAGACUCCAUCUCAAAACAAAUAAAUAAAUAAUAAUAAUUUAUGAUUUUUGGCCAGUAAUCUCACAGAAGUCAUGUUGCAUCCUCAUAUAUGCAUCCGCACCUGAUGCCAAUCUGUCCAUUUUAUUCACUUGGUUAGCAUGUUUCCUGAAGGAAUUCUUCACUUUAAAAUUACUUUCUAAAAACUGUAUUAUUAACAGGUAUUUUCGAGAGACUUUCUGACUAAUGUGCAGAAACAAUCACAUUUAAUCUGAAAGCUCCCCUGUCAUGCUAAGUGUCAGGUUCCAGCCCAAGCUGAGGUCUGAUAGAAGUCAGUGGGCGAGUGGUGGGUUGCUGGAAAAACACUCGAGGAAUUGUGGGCAGUUUUGAUAUGGCUUUAUUAUCUCUCUGGGCAGAAGCCUGGGCAUGAGCCAUGUGUGCAGGGUCAGCGGCUUUACUCUCUCUCUUCCCCUCCUGUCUACCUGUCUGUGUACUCCUUACACACGAUAGUGGCUCAAAGCCAAGUAUGAGCUUACAGAACUAGGUUACAUAAUGAGCAGAAUUGUGCACCUGCACUCAAACUCACUGAGUCAUGCUGAACCAGAUGUUUACCUCAGCUUAUUAUUGACCACAGCACAUCCAUUUUUCUUACAUCCCUUAUCUUAAUAGUUUCUCUUGUUUAUAUCUUGCUUUGGAAAAUGAAGGCUGUCAUCUUUGUUCACUGGUCAUAUACAUGGGGACAAAACCCAGGUUCUAUCACUAGAUGUUUUACAAACUAUUUUCCUUAAGUUAGAAUCAUUUAUGUCAUUGGUGAGUUUGUUAGCAAUGCAGUAACUCAGGUCUCAUCUCAGAUCUCUUGAAUUGGAAUCCAUAUUUUAACAAAAUCUGCAGCUCAUUGAUAUAUACGUUAAAAUUGGAGAGGUACCUUCUAACUUACUGUGACUUCUCCAUAUGAGAACUGGACAGAACUUACUGUGUAUAAUGUAAAUAUGGCACUCAAAACUGUAUAUGCUUGUGUUUAUGCCAUAAAUUUUAUGCUGUAUUAUUCAGAAAACUACAGUACCUACAGUGGUUUUGUGGAUCUUUUUUCAUUUUCUUUCCUCAGAAUGCAAAAAUAUAUUACAGAAUCUUUCUCUAUUUAACAAUAUUUUAUUGGAUAAUUCCAGUCUCUGUAACUCUCAAACACCUAGAGUAAAAUUAACAAUUCUGCCCAUGGCCAUUUGCUAAAUAUGUGUGGGUGUUUGGGUUUGUUUAGGAAAUGUUAACAUUCAAGGCUUUGGCCAUAGAAUUCUCUCAAGAGGAGUGGGAAUGUCUGAAUCCUGCUCAGUGAAAUUUGUGUAGAGAUGCAAUGUUAGAGAACUAUAGAAACCUGGUCUCUCGGUGAGAAUAAAUAUACCCCAGAUUUUCUAAUAUACCAUCAGGCUUCUAUUUUCUCCCUUUGUAGAAUGAUUUUGGGAGGUUUUGCUCUGCAUAAAUUAUUUUUAGAUCAGUACUUUUAAGAAAAACUUGAAGGUUUAUUGGAAUAGAUAAGAAAAUCUUCAAGAUGUUUUAUCUUAAUAGGAACCUUCCCCUCUCUUGAGCUAAUCUGUAUCCUUCACUCUAGAUUAAUGAUAAUUCUAGAAAUUCAGUGGCAUUAAAUACUGUUGCACAAAUAUUAAAAUCCAAUAUCCAGCACUAAUUUUAUAUUCAGUAUUGGAUAGUAGAGCUAAGGACCCAGAAAUGUCACGUAUGUUUUAAAUAUUCAAAAGUUUCUGUCAGAAAACAGUAUUUUGGAAUUAAAUUUCUAGAAUCUUUCAUAAUAUUCUCUCCUCUCUACUGAACAUAGUACUAGGUUGGUAACUGGAGGAUCCCAGAAAGUCAUGCUAAUUUUUCUAACAAAACAGGCCUUGCUGUCUCUAACUCUGAUCUGAUAUCCUGCUUUGAGCAAAUAAAAGAGCCCUGGAAUGUGAAGAGACAUGAGACAGUAGUCAGCUUCUCAGGUAGGUAAGCAUGAAUGAAGCAGAUAACAGAGACGAGGGAUACGAAGGUCAGAAAGAAUUUCAGACCUUAAAAUGUGGUAUAGAAUGCUCUGCUUCCAUGGAAAGGUUUCCUAAAAAGCCAUUUAUUUCUCUAGCUCCCAAAUAGGAGCAUCUUUUGUCCCAUACCCUUAAAUUCUUUAAGGAUCCUACUUCCUAUUUAGUGAUUUUCCUUAGAGGGUACCGUGAGAGCUAAAGUCCUCUUUAUGGCUUAUAAGGUGCUGCAUGAUAUGCCUGCUCUUCCAUUGUUUUGGGGGAGUAUAAGAAUAUUUCUGAGUAUUUUAGAGGAACUGCAUGUUAGAUCAUUUAACGUUUCUUUUCCCAUCAUGUCUGAAAUGUGUAAGAGGAGUGGUGAUAUUAAGAUUUGUUUCAGAAAUCACAGGAACAUGAAUGACAGAUGUUACUUCUCUAUUUUUUUUUAAUAUUAGCAAUCCUAACAGAUUUCGAGUGAUAGCUCAUCAUUGUUUUCAUUUGCAGUUGCCUUUUGGUAGGUGAUAUUGAGCACUUUUUUAUAUAUCUAUUGGUCAUUUGUAUAUAUUUGUUGGCAAAAUAUUUUUUUCACUCUUUCAACCAUUUUUUAGUUGGAUUAUUAUUGUUAUUAUUAUACUUGCUUUUGCUUUGAAUUUUCUAUAUAUUUUGAAUAUUAAGCUUUUCUGAUAUAUACAGUUUGCUGUUGUGAGCAUGCUGCAAUAAAUGUGCAAGUAUACGUAUCAUUUUCAUAUAAUAAACUAUUUUUCUUUGGGUAGAUACCCAAUGAUGAGAUUUCUGAAUCAAAUGAUAGUUCUGGCCAGGCGUGGUAGCUCACGCCUGUAAUCCCAACACUUUGGGAGGUAGAGGCGGGCAGGUCAUGAGGUCAGAAGUUUGAGACCAGCCUGAGCGAUAUGGUGAAACCCCGUCUCUACUAAAAAUACAAAAGUUAGCCAGGCGUGGUGGCACUUGCCUGCAGCCCCAACUCCUCAGGAGGCUGACACAGAAGAAUUGCUUGAACCUGGGAGUCAGUGGUUGCAGUGAGCUGAGAUCGUACCACUGCACUCCAGCCUGGACAACUAAGACUCCGUCUCAAAAAAAAAAAAAAAAAUGGCAGUUUUAUUUUUAGUUGAGAUUGAGCAUUUUUUUCAUAUGCGUGUUGGCUAUUUGUAUGUCUUUAUUGAAAAAUGAUUAGUAAUGUUAUUUGCUCAAUUGUCAAUAGAAUUCUUUAUUAUUACUAUUAUUAUAUUUUUGAGUUGUUUGAGUUAUUUGUAAGUACUGAAUAUUAGUUCCAUGUUGGCACGUAGUUUGCAAAUAUUUUCUUUUAUUCUGUAGCUUGCAUAUUUACCCUGCUGAUUUUUUUUUCUGUGCCAAAACUUUUAGUUUGAUUUCCAUUUGUCUAUUUUUUAUAAUAAUAAUAUAAUAAAUAAUAAUUUAAUAAUAGUUUUCUUUGUUGUGUCCUUGGCUAGUUUUGGUAUCAGGGUGAUACUGACCUCUGAGUGACUUAGGAAGAGUUUUAUUAUCCUCAAUUUUUGGUAAGAGUUUCAGGAGGAUUAUUAUUGUUUGUACACUUGGUAGAAUUUUGCUGUGCAUUUAGUCCUGAGCUUUUCUUUGUCAAGACAUUUUUUUUUAUUGCUGACUCAAUCAUGCUACUCAGUAUUGGUUUGUUCAGGUACUCUAUUUCUUCCCGACUCUAUCUUGGGAGGUUGUUUGUUUCCAUGGAUUUAUUCAUUCUUUCUAGGUUUUCAGGUUUGUGAGUGUCUAGUUGUUUAUAAUCGUUUCUAGUGAUCUUCUGUAUUACUGUUGUAUCCAUUGUAAUGUCUGUUCUUUUAUAUCUGAUUUGUUUAUUUAGAUUUCUAUUCUAUUUGUGGUUAAUCUAGCUAGCAAUUUACCAAUUUUGUCUUUUUGAAAAACCAACUCUUUAUUCUGUUGGUCAUUUUUAUUGUUUUUGGACUUCAUGUCAUUUGGUUGUGUUCUGAUUUUUAUUUAUUUCCUCUUCUAACUUGGGAUUUGAUUUGUUAUUAAUUUUCUAGUUCUUUGAAAUGUGAUGUCAGGUCCUUAAUAUGUAAGCUUUCUAUUUUUUUGAUGCAGGCCUUUAGGCUAUUAACUUCCCUUUUAGUACUACAUUUGAUGUAUCUCACAGGUUUUAUUAUAUUGUGUUUCUAUUUCCAUCUUUUUUCCCACAAAUUUUUAAUUUUCAUCUUAAUUUUUUUUUUUUUUUUUUGAGAUAGGUUUUACACUGUCACCCAGGCUGGAGUGUAGUGGCACAGUGUUGGCUCACUGCAACUUCUGCCUUCCAGGCUCAAACGAUCGUUUUAUAUUAGCCUCCCGAGUAGCUAGGACCAUAGGUGCACACCACCACACCUAGCUAUUUUUUCAUAUUUUUUUUUGUAGGGACAGGGUUUUGCCAUGUUGCCCAGGCUAGUGUUAAACUUCUUACCUCAGGUGGUCCACCUGUCUCAGCCUCCCAAAGUGCUGGGAUUACAGGUGGGAGCCACCACCCCUGGUCAACCAUCAUAAUUACUUCAUUUACAUAGUCACUGUUGAGGAGUAUGUUAUUUAAAUUCUUUGUAAAUUUAUAGUUUCUGAAAUUUCUCUUGAUACUGAUUUGUAGUUUUAUUCUACUGUGGUCUAAGUAGGUAGUUCGUAUAAUUUUGAUUUGGGGGGAUACUUUGUUGAUUUGCCAGAUUUCCUAUCUCAAUGGUCUCUCUAAUGCUGUGAGUAGAAUGUUGAAUUUCUCCACUAUUAUUGUAUUACUGUCUAUCUCGUUCUAUAGAUUUAAUAAUAUUUCUUUGUAAAUCAGGGUGCUGUGAUGUUGGGUUCAUAUAUAUUUAGAAUUGUUAUAUCUUUUGGCUGAAAUGAUUUCUUUAUUAUUGGAUGAUGAUCUUUAUCCUUUUUUGUUACAGCUUUUUAAUUUAAAGUCUGUUUUAUUUGAUGUAAGUAUAGAUACUCCUAUUUACUUUUGGUUUCUGUUUGUGUUAAUAUAUUCCCCCCCAUUUGCCUUUAAUCUAUAUGUGUCUUACAAGUAAGGUGAGAUUUUUGUAGGCAACAUAGAUUUGCGUUAUUUUUUCUCAUUCAUUUCAUAAAUCUAUACUUUUUUUUUUUUUUUGAGACGGAGUCUUGCUCCAUCGCCAGGCUGGAGUGCAGUGGCGCGAUCUCGUCCCACUGCUCACUGCAACCUCUGCCUCCCCUAUUGAAGUGAUUCUCCUGUCUCAGCCUCCUGAGUAGCUGGGACUACAGGCACACACCACCACGCUCAGCUAAUUUUUGUAUUUUCAGAAGAGACGGGGUUUCAUCAUAUUCACCAGGCUGGUCUUGAUCUCUUGACCUCGUGAUACCCUCACCUCACCCUCCCAAAGUGCUGGGACUACAGGCGUGAGCCACCGCACCCAACCAAAUCUAUACAUUUCAAUGAAGGAUUUAAUUUAUUUAUAUUCAAGGUAAAUAUUAAUAUGUAAGGUUUUGUUACUAUCAUAAUGUUAAUUAUUUUCUUGUCUUAUUUUUUUAUCUGUCUUUGUAGUUUAAUAAAAUUCUGUCAUGUUGUGAUUUGAUUUAUUUCACUUUGUUUUGUUUUGUAAGACCUGUUAGUUUUAUACUUUUAUAUAUUUUAAUAAUGGUGAAUAUCAAUCUCUUGUUUUUAUAUUAGAAUUUUUUUUAACAUCUUUCAUAGGCCCAGUCUAGUGGUAAUUAGUUUCCCCAGCAUUUAUUUGUCAGGGUAAGACUUUAUAUUCUUCAUUUGUGAAGGUUAUUCUAGCUUGAUAUAAAAUUUUUGGCUGGCAGUUUUCUUUUUUUUCAACACUCUAAAAGUGCCAUCCCAUUCUCUUCUGGUCAGUAAAGUUUCUGCUGAGAAGUCUGCUUUUAAUCUAAUGUGGUUUUCUUUAUAAAUUACUAGAUGCUUUUCUUUUGCUUAUUUUAGAAUUACUUCCUUCACUUUGACUUUAGAUAUUCUGAUUAUCAUGUGCCAUUAUGAUGUCUGUUUUGCAAUAUAUUUUGUUUAUAUUUUGUUGUAUUUUGUUUGCUGAGCUUCCUGUGUAUGUAUGUCUAAUUCUAUUGCUAGAGUUGGAAAGUUUUCAUCAAUUGUUUUCUUAAAUAGGUUUUCUAAACUUUUUGAUGUUUUUUCUUCCUCAGAAACACUGAUAAUUUUAAAGUUUAGUUACUUCAUGUAGUUGGAAACAAAGUCUUCAUUCUUUUUUAUUCUUUUCUCCUUAUUUUUGUCUGAGUGUAUUAUUUUAAAAGACCUGUUUAAAGGUUUGAAAAUUAUUUUUAUGUUUCUUCCAGUCUAUUAUUGAAUCUUUGAAUGUAUUUUCUUUUGCCUGCAAUAAAUCUUCAGUUCCAUAAUUUUUGUUUCAGUUUCUAUUAAAAGAUAUCUAUCUCCUUGGAACAUUUCCCAUUUGGACUCUAAAUUUAUUUAUUUAUUUUUGUACUGGUUUUCAGAUUUCUCUUGCCUCUCUUUGAGUUUCUUUAAAAUCUAUAUUUUGAAGUCUUUUUAAAGUAUUUUAAAGCCAUUUCAAUGAAUUUUUUUUUCUUAGAGUACUGGAGAAUUAUUGUGUUCCUUUGAAAGUGUCAUAAGCCUUGCUUUUCUGUGUUUCCUGUGUCUUUAUGUGUCUUUAUAUUGAUUUCUGCACAUCUGGAGAAAUAGUUGUUUCAUUUUAUUUUCGAAUUUACAUUCAUUGGAGGAAGUUUUUUUUUUUUUUUGAAGUUAUUACCAUAAUGUUUAUUGCAUAGGGCCAUGUGGCUUUACUUUUGGGUUUGUGCAGUGGGAAAGACUCUGUAUGAGUUUCUUCAGUAUAAACAAAUAUAUAUAUAUACACACACACAUACACACACACAUAUAUAUACAUGUCUGUGUAUGUGUGUGUUUAUAAAUACAUAUAUAUAUAAAACAAAUGUUUUAUUGGCUCGGGGUCAUCUUUUCUCUUAGGUUGAUUUUGAAUUCUAAGUCUAAGUCUAAGUCUCAGAAAACAAUAAAUUUAUCUUUGUUGUGUUGGUCAUUGAGGGCCAGCACACCUGACAUGAAAGAGUAAGAAGGUAGGGUGGGGUAGAUGGUGAGAAAUUACUUAAUAGUUAUAAUGUACAUUAUUCGAGUGAUGGAUACCAUAAAAGCCCUGACUUCACCACUAUGCAAUCUAUGCAUGUAACUAAAUUAUACUUGCACCCAACACAUUUGUAUA